AAGAUUUAUCAAAUAAAUGGAUGGAUCGACCACUUGAUGAAGCAUGCCAGACGAGUCCUUUACUUGACACUGUGCAGGGGUGCCAUGGCUACUUAUUUUCAAGACUGUUCUGCUCUUAAAAGCUGGGAAGGAAGACUUAGUUGCUCAGGCUUAUGCCAUCAUAUGGUAGUCAGGUCGAUGUUGUUGCUUGAGUUCUAGCUGAUGAAACUAAUGCUUCAAACCAACUCGAGCUAUCAUAGGUUUUGCCAGACUCAAAAUUAAUUAAGAUGUUAAUUUUUUGGCUAUGUUGUCCACAAUAAGCAUUGUAGAAUAUAUUUGUAUGUUCUACAUUGGGACUAUAACAGGGAAAUAUGAAAUUACUAUUAACAAAUUUAAUAUAAUUUGUGUAUUUUCAUAUGUACAGUGUACACAAGUUUUUCAUGUUAUAAUUUUAGGAUUUUGUAGAUAGGUAGACGUUUCUAGUACUGACAUUUUCUGUGGAAGGGGCAAAAAAUUGAACAAAGAUGAAUUGUUCAUUUAUGAUAGUGAUUACUAAUAUAUACAUAUAUAAAUCUCUAUGUGUAUUCUCUUGUAGUGUCCAUGUACUAAGACAUUCUUAAAGUUAUGCAGAACUUGAUCAUUUAGAAGUGAAGAAACCAUGUUUCUUUCUGCCUUAUGCAAGUGGGGGCAUGACCUUGGAGGGCUGUACUAACAAGGUAAGCUUCUUUCAGGAUUUUAUUAGUUUACUUAAAUAUUUGUCACAAGCACAAUAAAUAUCAUGAGGAUUGCCUAAAACUGGCUAGGUAAAAAGUUAAAAUGCUUGAAAACAAAAAAAAAAAUUGAUGAAAAGAACUGGCUUACCAGUUAAUAUUAUAUAUGCACCCUGGUAGAUAUCUGAUAUAGAAAGCUGAAGCAGUCGCAGGGCAACUCUCCUUUGGCAUGUCUUUAACAACAGUUAGUAUCAUAAUUACAUGCCAACUGAGAGUAGACCGGUGACUGCUCCACUUUGCUUAAUCAUGCUCAUCUAGCUAAAUUGAGCCAGUUUUGCCUAUGAUCCUGAUUGCAAGUUACUAGUAAUUGUUCUGAUGUAGUAUUUUGCUGUAAGCCUGUAACUCCUUGCAUUGUAUAUAAGGUGACAUAAAGCUAGGGGGGGAGGAAUAAACCAAUUAAGGAAUGGUAUAUGCUAGCCAGGUUCACAGUUAUAUAUAUGUCAUUUUAUUUGUAUGAUACUUUUUCAAUUUCUGGCUACUGCAUCUUGAAAAGGCUUCUUUCUUAUCCUUUACAUGAAUGAUGCAUAUACAAUAUGCCUCUUGAAAAGCUCUGAUUCCAAUUUUAUUAAAUUCCAUCUCUACCUAUAAUUGUAUGUGCAUAUAUAUUGCGCACACUUCAUCUGGCAAGCUCCUUUUGGUAAAAGUAUGAAUGUUAUCAUAUUUGGUUAAAAAUAUUUUAAGUCGAGUUUCUGGAUUAACAGUUAGUGUUAGCACUUUCGGAAUGAAAAACAUUCUAGUUUCUAGUGUUGGAUCUGCUGUGAUUAACAUAUUUAGACCAAAUAUCUUGCACAGCUUGUGCUGCAACAAUGAAGAGGGCAAUCAUUAAUUUCUAACUAUUCUUACUGUACAAUCUAACCUUAAACAACUUAGAGCACCAACAAACAUAUUAUACAAUGGAGCAUAUACAGUUGUACCCUAUUUUACCCUUAACAUGUCGAUCGGGAACUAUGUCGAUCCCUUUACUCCUGAGUUGUUCGGCAGGCCCAACCCCACUUAGCAUCAUCAGCUGGGGGCUUCCGAUUGCACCAGCUGCUAAAAUGACUUCACUUCUAGGAUCCUUAGUCAAGUAUGCUGUAUGAGAUACGCCAAGUGAGUCUCAGAAUUCAACUCCAUCCGCUCUUGGUUUCCCUGCAAUCUUUGACUAACCUUUUAAUCAGUUGUUACAUUAUCAUGCUAUGCAGGAGUCAUGUAUUAUAAAGACUACACAAUGGAUUCUUCCACUGCGUUCAAACAAAAGUUAGCAAUGCUGGACUAUCGAAGAAGGUACUGGCACAGGUAUCUUUUGAUUCUUUCUCACCCUCAAAUAUGGCAAAUGCAUAAUAUACACUUGCCUUGAUUUUAAACAAAAUCCGCUGCACUGUUGCAUGAAGGUGAACAGCAAUUUUAGCAGGAUCAGCAUACUCUAACAAGUCAGCAGCAGUGUGUCCCAUUUCUAUUAAUUUGGAAUGGAGGAUUGGAGGGUUCUAUAGAGCUGGACUCCACUAAAGUAGCUACUAGCUAGGUUGCUGCUUGUUUUUCUUAUGAUGGUCAAUGAAUAUUGAUGUUUUUCAAUAAUAUUUUUUUUUUGAUUUUUUUUAAAGAUAUAUUAAUGAGUUGAAAAAUGUUACAGCAUAUUGUUUUUAAGAAAAUUAGAUUUUUCUCCAAUAUACAGAUAAAAUUGUACGGAUUAUUUAAAUAAGAUUAUCAUUCUUUUUACGUGACAAAAAAAUCAGAAACCAGUUUGACUUCAUUUUUUUUUUUGCUAAAUGAAAUAUAUUAAAAGGCAGAAAUAUACAAAUCUAGGGACAUACCCCACGAAAAAUAAAAUAGUAUAGAAAAGGAACAGACUCCUCUGCUACAAGGACACUACUAAAACUAGUAGGCUAAGCAAUGGUCAUAAUCGACUAAACAAUAAAAUAGAUCAGCAGAGCAGCUAAAAAAUAAAGCUAGAAAGAGUGGGAUCAGUCUUAGCUUUGGCAUGAAACGCAGUACACGUGAAGAGUCUGUCACGGAUUUGCUCUUGAAUUAAACGAAUAAGAUCAGUGGAAGAAAUGUAUUGUCGAGGAUUAUGAAAUCUCAAAUUCCGCUCCAUCCAGAUGUGAUAAAAAGCAACAACGAUGAACAAAUACGCCACCUUAGUUCUAAUAGCAUCAGCUUGGGAUAGUAAGCAUCUACCAUCACAAAUGUCUAUCCAGCUGUUACUCACCCUUACGGGACACGCAUCCAACAUCUUGCGAGAGAAAGGGCAAGAACAUAAUAAAUGGGCAUGAUUCUCAUCCGAGUUCUGACAUAAUAAACAAAAGAGCGAAGUAUGCAUAUUAAAAUGCAGCAUUCGGUCUUUUGUCAGAAUGUGCUCCUUAAGAAUCAGCCAGACAUAAAAAGCAUAUGUAGGAGUAUUGAAAUUGUUCCACACAAAUAAAAACCUUGGGGGNGGGGGGGGGGGGGGGGGGGGUGUUUAAUACGGUGAGAGCAUAAGUCCGCAUAAAAAGUGGCAAUCUUAACAGGACCUGAAACACCAUUAUUAUUCCAACUGAUUUUAUCAUGAUCAGAAAUCCUGAGGCUACUACAAUCCUGUCUAAGCUCACAAAUCUGACGAAGAUUACUAGCACCAAAGUCCCAUUGGCCAUUCAACUGAACUCUGCUAAGAGGAGACAUGCUAUUCAACUCAAGGAGAGAUGUGUCAAACCUGGUACUGGGCACCAGUUUAUGCAACCAAGGAUCGUGCCAGAAAAGAAAAUUCGAGUUGCUGCCAGGAGAGUGCGAGAUGAAUUGUUUAGCCAGAUCACGACUUUGAAGAAUACGACGCAAAGACCACGAACAUGUAUACGGGAUAGGCAUAGUCCAGAACCCCUUGCGCUUUAGAUCGUGGUGAUACAACUACUCAAUCAAAAAGAGAGUCAUCCCGGUUAAUGAUUCUCCAAAGCUGAUACAGAAUAGUAGCAUUAUUCCAAACCAAAUUUUUUUUAAUGCCAAUGCCUCUUUUAAUCUUUGGAAAAUAACAAUCCUUCCAAGCCACUUCCAAAAUUUUGAUCGAAUAUAUAGAAAUUUCAAUAGACUUCAAGCCAUAUACUCCUUGUGUCCCAUUUAAUUGUAUACGUUGUUUUUCAACUGCUCGACACGCAUUUCAAUGCUCUUAUAAAAUAUAAUUCCGUAACUUAUUUUUGAGAUUUUAUUUUUCUGAAUAAAAAUAUAACAUCCAAACUUUAAUUCAAAAAAAGAAAAUUUUAAAAAUAAAUUACACAACUACACUUUACCGGAGCAUUAAAGUCCGUGCGACGUCCCCGUCGCCCAAUGUAUACUAUUCAGGGGAUGGAGGGAGUAUAUACUAUCGGAAAACCAUAUAUAUAUUAUCGGAAGAUGAAUAUCGAUCAAUAUACUUCUAUAAAGGAGAAGCGAGGCGCGUGUAUGUGGCGCCUCUCAUAUCGUUCUGUUCUAUUUUUCUAAUUUUCUGGAAUUUUUAGGGGCGUGUAUGUGGCGCCUCUCAUAUCGUUCUGUUCUAUUUUUCUAAUUUUCUGGAAUUUUUAGAUGAAAAAUAUCAAAAAUUAGAACUACUUUUUUUAGUUUUGGGUAAAUUAGAAGCAAGUUUCAGAAUCUAAUUUUGUUUCAGAUUAUUUAUGGAAUAUAGUAGCUUUGGGUAUAUUAGAAGCAAGUUUCAGAAUCUGGUUUUGUUUCAGAUAAGAUAAGCAAGUUUCAGAAUCUGAUUUUGUUUCAGAUUAUUUAUGGAAUAUAGUAGCUUUGGUUAUAUUAGAAGCAAGUUUCAAAAUCUGAUUUUGUUUCUGAUUAUUUAUGGAAUAUAGUAGCUUGAAAAUUUUAAUCUGAUUUUGUUUCAGAUUAUUUAAUUAUGGUAAAGAAUAGCACACAAGUCUCUCUGCACCUAUAAAUACCCGUAUAGAUUAUAAAGGAGAAGCGAGGGGCGUGUAGGUGGCGCCUCUCGCAUUGCUCCUUUCUAUUUUUCUAAUUUUUUGGAAUUUUUGUAUUUGUAAAGGAGAAGCGAGGGCCGAGGGGCGUGUAGGUGGCGCUUCUCGCAUUGCUCCGUUCUAUUUUUUUAAUUUUCUAGAAUUUUUGGAUGAAAAAUAUCAAAAAUUAGAAAUACUUUUUUUAGUUUCGGUACACCUAUAAAUACCUCUAUAGAUCGUAAGGUUUUGGAUCAUCUAAACACAACUUCCUCUCUUUCAAUACUACAAUCUCACAGAUUUAAGUUAGAUGUUUUUGUGCACAAUCAAUACCAAAAAGUCACAAAGUCCACGUAAUUCGUUAAAAGCCACGUAAAUGCCACGUAAAUGCCACAUAAAAUCCAGCUCAAUGGUUACUUUAAAUAUGUAAUCUCAUAUUUUCGGCCUUGAUUUAUGCUUCCUAUUCUUUGGAUGUUAUAACACAAUUAAUUCGUGUUGAAUGGCUGUCAUUUUUGGUAUGUAUCCUAUUUUUUUUCCUUCCUUACAAUAAUUCCAGCUUUAAUUUUUAAUUGUCUUAACUAAUAUGUAAAGCAUUGAUUGUUUUUCAAAAUCAAAUCAAUUCUUAUCAUGUAUUUUAAAAACUCAAAUUCAUCGGUAUCUCUCUCAUCUUUUUUAUUUUUCUCCUCCGGUUUCAAGUAUGUUAAUUGUAACAGACUUUAUUUUACUUAUUUUGAUUCUUUUAAUUGAUUUCAUAUGUGUGUGUAUAUCCAUAUAUUUGUGUAUUUAUAAUUAUAAUUAAUUACUUCCAAUUUCUCUUUGAUUAAAUAUGGGAAGACAUCCUAAGCACUCUGAAGACUUUACUGUACGAUGUUGCAUGAAAAAUUAAAAAUUCAAAAAUUGAAUUAUCUCUUAAAUUGUUGAUCAUCUUAUCUUAAAAUAUUUAAAAUUAAAAUAUAUUUAAGAAAAUUUCAAACAAUAAUUUUCUUAUCUUUAUACAUUUAAUUUAUUUCACAUCUACAUAUAUCUUUUUGUAUAUUUACCUAUUUUUAAUUGUAUUUUUGCUUAUCUCUUUCGAAUUAAAUUUGUAAAGACUUCCUAAGCACUUAAAAGAUUUUUGUAUGAUAUUGCAUUAAAAAUUCAAUAGAUUGAAAGAGUGAUUACCUCUUAAACAGUUAAACUGCUAAUCGUCUUUUCUUAAAAUAUUUAAAAAUAAAGUAUAGUUAAAAUAUUUUCAUAAGAUUAUAUUAAAAAGAAUAAGGUAUUAAUGCACGAAUAAAUAUGUUAUACUUUAAAAAAAUUAUGAUUUGACUAUUAUUUUGUUAAAUUUAUUUAUGUGUUAUUGUUUUCUUCAUUAUUUUAUUUUUUAGUUUUAAUAAAGUAAUUCUUAUAUAUAAAAAAUGUGAGAUGCGUCAUUAUAUAUGUUUUACUCUCUUAUUUUUUAUUUUAAAAUAAAUAUGAAAUUAGUUCAAAAUUAUAUACUAAAGCACUAACAGAGCGUCGCAAUGGUAGGGUGUGUGAAGCAGCAUUUAGUUGAUAUUUAAGCAUGCUCAAUCAGCUGCAUAAUCAAUGCUUUUUAUAUAUUUAAUUGGUUUGAAUUUUUUUUUAAAUUAAUUUGAAAAAUAAUAUCUUUUGAGGAUAAAAAAUUGUAAGCAAUUUAGAAGGCAUAUGUGGUCAAUAUUUAGCUCUGCUUGAUUAUAUGCAUGAUUGGUGCUUCAGAAUGGGAAUGGAGUGAAUUUCAUUCGAUUCUUUCCAUUACCAUCUAAAAAUUUGAAAUUGGAAUCAUAUGGUUGUCUCUCUUCAAUUUUAGAUUCAAAUUUCCUUGAUUAUAGCUUUCGUUAAACAAUAGUAUGACAAGAAUUAAAACAACGAUUUUAUUUAUUCUAAUUUGUUUGAUUGAUUUCAUAUCUAUGUAUAUGUAUAUGUCUAUAUAUCCAUAUAUUUGGUAGAGAGUGGAUAUAUAUAUUAUGCUAAUUUGUUUGAUUGAUUUCAUAGCUAUGUAUAUAUGUUUAUGUCUAUAUAUCUAUAUAUUUGGUAGAGAGUGGAUAUAUAUAUAACCGUCAUCAAGACCUCAUAUCCUUGAUUGUUUGUAUUCAUCUUUAUUUUUCUUUUUCUUUUUAAGGCUGAUAUGGUAAUUUCACAUUAGAGUGGAUCAACCCAUCAAGCUUUCGGUUCGACCCCGCAUCUUCUUAUUCAAAUUAACACUGCGAUGAAACCUUUCGGAUCUACAAGAAACCCGACCCGAGUAUCAUUGGAUCUGAGAGCACAUUCAAAUCAUAUCACGAUCAUCAUAUCAAGAUUAGAAUUUCAAAAUAGCAUUAAUCACGCAUCCUUGAAUCGUGCCACUGAUCACGACGUCAGUUCAGAUUUAAGCUUUACUACUUAUUUGUAUAUGAUAUCAUUAUCAGAUCAAAGGACAUAAUUUUAAUUUCACAUUCAAAACCAUUCUUUCUUCCAAGCCUCUAAUCGUGACGAGUAUGUUUUCUUGCUUAGUUUUCGAACUGAUUUGUGUCCUCGGUUGGAUUUUACUGCAGUACUACUGAUCUUGGCUUUCUUUUCACAUUAAUUUCUCUACCUACGAACUUUGCUUUGCGCUUAUUUACUUUAUUUAAUAAUAGAAUUCUACUUAUCUUGCACAAAUCGCGUUGAUCUGUGUAUGCAUCAUGUAGUAUCAGUCAAAGUCCUUUUGCGACGAUGCUUCGACAAGGGAUGACGUCUCGAAGUCAAAAAGAGAAUAACACCAUUGGUCGUGAAAUAGGUUUGCACUAUUUCCAGCUUAAUUUACAAUAUUUGCUCCAUUGUGUAUAUUUGUUUAUUCUAUUAUUGUUGAACGGGUUCUGAAGUUUGUUGUUUGAACGCUGCAAGUAUCAUAAUCAGUAUAUAAUUUUGUAUUUAACGUGUUUGAUAAUUUGCUACAGAGAACAGCUGAGAAAUCCGUCCUCACGAUUUCUAUUGAUUUCAUGUUCCAGGAAUUUGAGAUUAUUUUUGAUUUCUAACGAUUAUUUUUGCAUAAUUUCCUUUCGUAUUGAUAGUGAUUAGGAUGCACAUAUGUACUCUAAUGCAUUUAUUGAGCCACUUUUUGUUAUUGAGUUUUCCUUGCAGCUGCUGAAUAGAGAUGAUUCGUCCAUGCAACUAUCGGAUGCUCAUCGUGUGAAGAUUUAUAUUCACUUUUCCUCAACAUCUGCUUAUUGAUCUAGACUUUUUGUUUACAUCUUAUCGUAUGUCAUUGUUGUUUGACAAGAACCACCGAGAAUGAAUAUGACGCAAUUUCUGUCCAGAUACAUGAAUCAAACCUGCUAUAACUCAUAUGUAAAUAGGGAAAAGUAGUCAAAAUAUUGAUUUUCAAUGAUUUUGGCAUUUAUUUCUUUUGUAUAAUUUGAAGAUGUUUCCCUAUUCACUAUAUUCAAGUUUCAAAUCUAGACUUUUUGUUAUAAUUUCAAAUUAAUGGAGUCUUUUUUCACUCCACAAUUUUAUCUCAUGAUAAGGAAGUUUUUAUAUAUUAGAUUUUUAAAUAUUCGGAUACAUGGAUCUCGACUAUUAUAGCUCAUAUGCCAAUAGGAAAGUCAGACUUUAUUUGAUUUCCACUGAUUUUGACAUUAAUUACUAAAAUACUUUUCUAUUAAAUUUUUGCAGUUUCCAUGUUCAUUAUUUUCAAUUUUCAAAUCAACACUUUUUGUUAUAAUUUCAAAUAAAUAUCUCACUCUAUAAUUUUAGCUCUUGAUAAGGAAGGUUUUAUAUAUUUUGACUUUUUUAAUUUUUUUGAUACAUGGGUCUAGCCUGCUAUAACCCAUUUGUAAAUAAGGAAAAACAGUCAAUUUUUUUUGAUUUAACUGAUUUUGGCUGUUAUUAUUACAAUACUUUUUUGUAUAAUAUAUACUGGUUUCCAUAUUCAAUACAUAUAAUUUCCAAAUCAAUACUUUUUUGUUAUACUUCCUAAUCAAUGGAACACUUUUUAAUGAAAUUUUUAUAUAUUAAUUUUUUAUAUUUCCCGAUACAUGGAUAUAGACUGCCAUAAUUCAUAGCAAAAAGGAUUUAAAAUUUAAAUUUUUGUAAAAUAUUUUCAAACGAUAAUUCAAAGCAUUGAUUCUAGCACAAUCCCACAAAUUAUGCAUUCAUUCUAACUUUUGUUUUUAACUGUCUUAACUAAUACGUAAGCAUUGAUUCAAUAAGUGCUAUAAUUCAAAGCAUUUGAAAUUUAAAUUUAUUUAAAAUAUUUUCAAACGAUAAUCUAUUAAAAUGGUUGAAGAGACGAAGACCACAUAAGGAUACUAAACCACCUGGUUGUGAAAUUGUUUCUUCAAGUACCUCCAGAGUCGGAGCUUACGAUCUAACUUGACUUCCUCAAAAUAAGAAUUGCAAGACUAAUACAAAUAUGAUGCAUGAAGAAAUGAUGGGUGGUAAGUCAGAUGUUUUCAUAUCAUGGACGAAAUAUUUUCAUCCGGGCUAUGUUGAUUUUAAAUGACAUUUUAUUUUAUUGAAUUUAAUUUUUAAUUUGGGAUUAUUUGAUGGUUUGAUUUUCUGUUUUUAAUCAUAAAAAUUAUUUCACAACGCCAAAAAAAAAAAACUACAAUAUCAGAACACCCGUGCGCGGAGCGCGGGUAAGAAAAUCUAGUAGAUUAUAAAGGAGAAGCGAGGGGCGUGUAGGUGGCGCCUCUCGCAUUGCUCCUUUCUAUUUUUCUAAUUUUUUGGAAUUUUUGUAUUUGUAAAGGAGAAGCGAGGGCCGAGGGGCGUGUAGGUGGCGCUUCUCGCAUUGCUCCGUUCUAUUUUUUUAAUUUUCUAGAAUUUUUGGAUGAAAAAUAUCAAAAAUUAGAAAUACUUUUUUUAGUUUCGGUACACCUAUAAAUACCUCUAUAGAUCGUAAGGUUUUGGAUCAUCUAAACACAACUUCCUCUCUUUCAAUACUACAAUCUCACAGAUUUAAGUUAGAUGUUUUUGUGCACAAUCAAUACCAAAAAAUUGGCGGAAGGUGACAAUGUAAGAACAUGAUUACUUUUAAAAAAAACACAAAAAAAAAAUUAAAAUUCGUCGUGCUUUGAAUUGUUAAUUACCUGUAUAAAUUUAUUUUCAUUUUUUCACCAUGAAUUAUAGUCCAAUUUUGCAAUUUUAUAUAUUAGUAUUAGUAUUAUAUCAAAAUUUUUAUAAUAUAAAAUUUAUUUUAUCCUACAAAUAUUAAUUUUGAAACGUUAAUAUAGUUUUUAUAGACAUCACAAAAUUAUUUUAUUCCACAAAUAUUAAUAUUGAAUCAUUAAUAUAAUUUUUAUAAGCCGCCGCAACGCGCGGCUUCUCAACUAGUUUUAUAUAUGAAUCGAUCUUGUAUUGAAAAUAUAAGACAUACGGAUUAUAUGUUACAAAGACUACAUGUCUUCAAAUAUUAUUAUUAUUAAAACAACAAAUAAUAUAUAUGAUGAAAGUAGAAAAACUUGCCAACUUUUUCCCAAGAAUUCGCCGGGACAAUUAGUUAUGUAUCUCACUUUCAUUCAAAUUUCAGAUUAUUUAUUAUAAUGUUGAGCGAACAAUUGAAAUUUUGCUAACUUGUGAUUUAAAUUGAUAAUUCCAUUAACAAUUAUUUCAUUAGUAAUGUGUUAGUACAUUUUUAAUUCUACGAUGAUCUAUAAGAAAUACGUAGCGUCAGCUAUAUAUGAUGUGGGUGUUUGGGAGCAGAACUUCUGGGCUUAAAAGCCCAGAAGCCCACUUCUUCUCUUUUCUCAACCGUUUGGCAAGGGAUGUGAAGGGCUUAAAAAAGGGAAAAGAAGCUGAUAAAAUAAGCUACGAAUCAGAGCUUUUUUUUGGACCGAGCUUUUUCAGCCGUUGCUUCCUCCUUUUCACUUCCUAUUGUUUUUAUUUAUUUUUUAUUCUUCUGAUUUAUGUUAUCUUUAUUCAUAGGUGAUUGAAUAUAAAGAUUUUUUUUAAUUUAAAUUUUUGUAUUCAAUUUUAUGAAAUAUUUAAAUAUAUCAAUAUUAUAUAUUAAUAUUUAUAUAAAUUUUUAAACACACUUAUAGAUCAUUUAAAUGUGAGACAAAGCAAACCAAAAACCAUUUUUUAUAUAAUAUAAAUAUUACUUUAAUCUAAUAUUUUCAUCAACUUUUCUCAAUUUAUUUCGUAAAUAUCAAAUAAUUAUAUUACAAAAUUACGAAACUAUACCAACUUAUAAGUUAAGUUAUCCAAACACUUAAAAACUUAUAAGUCACGGUGUCCAAACACUUGUAAUAACUUAUAAGUCUAAAUCAACUUCUCACUUCUAAUCAACUUCUUUACUUUAAGCAAUAAGUCACUUCUUUUAAGCCCAGCCAAACGGCCCCUAUAUUUUCUCUCAUCUAUACUCUUUUUUUUUUUUUUUGAAACCUCUCUCAUCUAUAUCUAUACUGUUAAAUACAUGAAUCACAUACGCACCAAUUAAGAUAUUUUUCUUAAAGGGUCUUUUCAUCAUUCUAUACAUCAUUGAAUAAACCAUUCAUACUUGCGAGUUGACCUGUUUUUCAUUUGCUGCAUAAAUCAUACAGGGUUUACCUUUUGAUUUAUAUCUGGUGAUCUCUCCCGUGACCUGUGCAGGUCAUCCAAAUCCAAAAUUAUUGGACAUGUUUGAAAAUGAGAGGUUUGGAAUAAAAUUAGGAGUUUGAGGUGAUUUAAAAGUAUGACCAUUUCAAUCCGCUAAUGCUAGUAUUUGGUAGUUAGCGGAUUGAAAUAGAGGUUUUGGCUCAAAAAGCCACGAGGAGUUUUUUGAGUUAGAGAUUUUGAUAUGUGUCACAAAAAACUAAUCAAACAUCUAUUUUUUAAACUGUUUUACAAUAAACCGUUAUAGUCAAAACAUCUAUUUCUAUUAACUAGUCAAAACAUUUAACUCAAUCCACUAAUAACUACUCCCUCCGUCCCAGUCAAUAGUAUACAUUGGGGGACGGGGCGCGCGGCACGGACUUUAAUGCUUCAAUAUAGUAUAGUUCUGUAAAUUAUUUUUAAGAUUUUCAUUUUUUUAUAUAAAAGUAUAACAUUUAUGGGGGCGUUUGGUUGAUGGUUAAUGAGCCCGGUUAACGGGAAUCGGAACCUAAUACACAUACAUUGUGUUUGGAUUAGUAAAAUUUUUGCUUGGAAUGGGAACCUCAUUCCCUUUUGAAGGGUAAAUCAAUACCUCCACACCCCUUGGGUUACCAUUUCCCAUACCCCUCAUUCUCAUUCCCAUUCCCACCAAUCAUCCAAACACCCUUAUUUUUAUAAAAAAAAUAAAAUUUUAAAAAUAAGUUGUAGGUCUAUGUUUUAUAAAAACCUUAAAAAACGUGUCGUGCAGUGAAAAAGAAACGUAUACAAUUGAUUCGCAUAAAUGGCUAAUUUAGCCUUUUAGUGUAAUGGAAAGCUUAAACCACUGCUUGAUAAGAGAAAUGCAGUGAAUCAAGUUAUAAACAACUUUUUAUAAGUUACGAUUUGUUAAGAUCGUCAUACAAAGAUUUUUCUUUUCAAUAAUUUAUUUUAUAUUAAACUCGUCUGUAAAAUAACUUCUUUUGUUAUUGCAUACAAUAAAUUAAAUUAGUAAUUCAAAAUGUUAACUAAUUAACAAGUACCGUGUGCUGAGCACGGACUAUAUUGCUUGAUUUAAAAAAAAUGCGUAAAUCAAUCUUUAAAACAAAGAGAUAUAUUCCAAAAAGAUGUGCUGAGAGAAAUAUAUACCAAGCUGGGCUGAGGAAAAGCAACUGACAUGGGCCAACACAACACUUACAAAAAGAUAAAAACAUAAACAUUAGCCCAACUCAGCAAAAUAGCCCACACUAAGAAACAUCAUCCUACACGUACGGCCAGUGUCAGGAUAUUAUAAUACUAACCGGGCAAAGCGCGGCUGUUUUAAAUUAUUUUUUGGUAUAUGUUCAUCUUUUUAAAUUGAGAUUAUUUAUAUUGUACAUUUAUUUAUAUUUAAAGUCAUAUUAUAUUGAUAUCUAUAUGUACACAUAUCCUCACUAUGAUAUUUAUUAAAAUAUAAACCCAAAAAUAUACACUAUUUAAAAUUUUAUUAUAUAAUUAAAUUACCACCCAACUAAAAUUAUUGAAAAUUUGAUAUAAGAAAUGAGAUUUUUGCCGAAUCAGAAUUCUUGUCAUAUAGUUAUAUAUUAUAUUUAUAAUUAUUCUAAUAUGUACAUAUAUAAUUUUUUAAAAAUAAUAAUUAAAUAUUCUAAAAAUCGGUUAGUUGACUAAUUAAUCGAUAAUCAGAAGGAUUUUUAAUCCGAUUUGGUAAAAUUCGGUUAUAUCGAUGAUUAUUUGGUCAAAACUUGAUCAAUUAGACGAAAAUCAGGUUGAAUAUUAAAUUUUACAAAAUUUGUGGGGCAAAUUUAAAAUUUUAAAAAUGAUUAGAUAUAUAUAUUAUUAUAUAUAAUAUGAAAUUAUUUUCAAAUAAUGAUCAUGUUAAUAUUUAUACUAAGUAAGGGCAUAUUAGUCUUUUUGAAUUAAAUUACUCAUUAUUGUUGUAUUAGAUAUAUAAUAGAACUUGACAAAAUUCGGUUAAAAUCGAUGGCUAAUUGGACAAAAAUUGGAUUAAUUGGUUGAAAAUCAUGUCGAACAUUGGAAUUUACAAAAUUUGUGGGGGAUAAUUUAAAAUUCUAAGAAUAAUUAUAUAUAUUUAUUAUUUUUACAUAUAUAAAAUAAAACUAAUUCAGAAUAAUGAUCCUAUUAUUUUGAUUAAUCAUCGAUUUCCGAAUUCCCACCUUUUGAAACACGGGAUAUUUAUAACAUAUAUGUAUUGGAGUUUUAAAUAUGAAAUAAUUUAAUGUAUAUUAAUGAUUAGACAUUAAUGUCUAAUUCCUUAAAAAAACAUUAAUGUCUAAUAAAUACGUUAGUGUAAAAGUCAAUAAUGACCUUUAUAUAAAAAAAAUGAAUUUUGAGCAAAAGGUAGUAUGGUCACUUUGAAUUAAAUUACUCAAGGUUGUUGUAUUAUAUAGAUUACUUAAUCAAGUCUCUUUUUCUUAUGCCUUGCACUGAUGCUUCACAUAAUUAACAAAUAAUUCAACUUUACAAGGAUAAAACAAUGAAAUAUUUAUCAUACUAUAAAAGUAAAAAAAGAAUUAUUCACACUAAAAGUUCCAUACAUCAUCAUAUACAAUAUAUUAAUCAUUAAUUUUUGAGAAACUCUUGUUAUACAAAAUCUAAUAACAAAAACUCUGUGUAGAUUAUCAUAUCAUAAAAACAAAAAUAAAAUUAUUCACUUUUAAAAAUUUUAUACAUCAUGAUCUAUAGUCCAGCCUUUUAUGUUUAAUUGUUUGAUUCCUUGAAUUGUGCGAGGGAGCAAUCCGGCUACACACGAAGGGUCUCUCCCAUUCAUCACUACAUUCAUUGAUGGCAUGUCACCAGCUGCAGAAACUAUUAAUGAUCCAAAUGCAUCAUUGGAUGUUUCUUGUAGUCUCAGCAACUCUGAUUUGAAUUAUCACAUGAAGCGAUUUUAUGAACCAAACAUUUUAUAAAGAGUAGACAAUGAAGAGAAACCAUCUAUAUUUUUUUUAAAACUAAUCAAACAUUAUUCAAAUAAUUAACUCUUUUUUUAAAAAAAUAGCUAAGUAUAAGAAUUUGAAUUAAAGAUUCUUGAACGGUGCAAACAUGUGAAAUAUACACUUGUUGAGGUUAGGCCUAUUGAUGACCCACAAAAUAAUUGAUGCAGGACCUUGACCAUACAAUGGUGGAUUUUAGGUCACUUGAGGCCCAUGAAAGGAGAAACCUGGGUUUGGAAUCUGGUACUCAUGUGCCUAAUAUGGAGGGUUUAUGUCACUAUAGUUGAAAAAGGCCUGAAGUUGCCGAGAGCAUUCCUGGAUACAUUUUUCUUUCUCGAUCUUUCAAGCUUGAUGUAUAUGUCUCGAUCUUUUCCGAAUUCUUGACUAAUGUCCUACUUAUAAUAACAAGGAUUCCGUUUAAGUAGUAUAUCACGUACAAACAAAUUCUUGUUAUAUACACAACAAUUUCAAUCCAGCCAGACAAUUUUGCAUAUUUACGAUACAUAAUUCAACUAUUACAAAAUUUUAAUAAGAUUAAAAGAUAUAUUACCUGUGGGUGAUGUUGAAAGAGAUCUGGAGCAUUUUCUUCAUCAUUUACUACAAUUAUUGAAAUAAAAAAUAUUAGAAUAAUAAUACACGCUAAUUAAUUUUUAGAACAAUUUUUUUACGUAACAAAAAACAAAUUUUCAUAAAUUGACAUAUGCAAUAUGAGAGAAAAAUGAAAUUGAUUUUGGAAACUUACCUUAUCAAUUGGAAUCGAGAGAAAAGUCACGACGAUAUUAAGACCUUCAAAACUUGUACAAAUUUCGGAAAAUAUUACAAAAUUUAGGUAAGUGGGUCGACAAAUCAUUUUAAAAUCGCGAUUUCAUAAAAACAUAACAUGUGUUUUAUCAAAUCAUUAUACCUAGAUGGUAGACUAUAGACAGAAGUAAUCGGAAAAUUAUAGUUUUAGUCGGAAAAAGAAAAUAUUUUGAAGGGCGUUUAUGAAUUGGGAGAGAGUGAUGAACUAAUAAGCGGCGGAGUUGGGUAUGAAAACCUAAGGUAAACAUCGUGCAUUAUUUAUAAGCAAGAGAUCAUAUCUCAUGGUCCAUAUCUUCUGAAGUUUAUCAUCCAACGGUUGUUAACCACCUAAAAUUAGCAAGAUUAUUCUUUUAACCAAAUGGGUCCAAGGGUUGAAAUAUGGGCUUGGAUAAUAUCCAGGCCCGGUUCUGAGGGUAGUCUGGAAAGGCAACGGUCUAGGGCCCAUAAUUAGAAAGAGCCCAAAAUUUUUAAUUUAUAUAAUUAUAGUAUAUUUUUUUUAUCAGGCCGGGUAAAAAUAUUAAAAUUGAUCGAUAGAAAUUAAAUUAUUAAUAAUUAAAAACAAAGCAAUUGAGAGGUAUAAGAAGUUUUAGAUAGAAUAGAUUAAAAAUUGAUACAUAAGAAAUAUUAGAAAAGUAAAUCAAUCCAACACACCCAAUUUUAUUUUAUCACAUUAACUUAGCACGCCUCUAGCCUUCUCUUUUUGCCUCCAUCGCUCUGGUUUCCACCCGCCAUUAAGUGUGAAUUACCUUCCAAAAGCAAACCGCUGUAAUCAUUAAAUUUCUUAAAACUCUGACUAUGAUAAUUAUUUCUUUCUAUCAUUUGUAAGCUUUAGCAUCCAUGAAUUGAUGUUAUUCAAAGAUUAUACACUUGAUAAUUCAACAGUUUUUUUCUCUCGAAAAUCUAAUUAUUGGCAUCGCUUUACCAAAGGUGGUUGAUUGAUUGAUUAUUGUUCUAUUGGACGAUUUAAACUAUUCAAACAUCUUCAAUCUUGCAUCUUGCAAUCUGUUGCUUCUUGUCUAAGGUGUUAUCAUAUCAUUACCUAAUUUUUGUGUUAUUUUAUUUAAAUUUUUAAUUUACUUUUUUAUACUAUAUUUUCUAAAAACAUUUACCUGGAAGUGCAAAAAGGGAAAAGAGGUAACUUGAGGAAAAUUAAAUUGAGAAAACCUAGAUGGGGCACACUGAGCGUGGAGGGAUUUAGUGGAACAGAGUGGAGUCAAGUAUUGGUUUUAUAACUUGCCUAGAGCACAGGGAUUUAGUGGAACAGAGUGGAGUCAAGUAUUGGUUUUAUAACUUGCCUAGAGCACCUCUUUGAUCAUUACGGAGUACGGAGUCUUGGUGAGACUUUAGAGGAUCCGAAAUGAAUUGAGUGAGAUCGGGAGUAAAUUCCAGAAAAACGACGGUGGAAGAUAACAUUAGGGGUGGGUGAUGUCAUAUAAAACUCGGAUCUCUUGUUUGUAUUUGAUCAUAUAAUUUGUUAGCCGUAUAUAUCAUAUAUUUGGACACUAUUUCUAUCACAGAUUCAAAUAUUUACAAUAUAUUACAAAUGAUAGAAUAGUAAAAUAAAUUAUCAUAUAAAAAAUUGAUAAUAUCAUGUCUUUUGAUAAAAGAAAGACUUGAGAUAUCAUAUCAAACUAGAGUAAAGUCUAUGUCCCAAAAGAUAAAAGGAAAGGAAAGAGAAGGCCAUGAGACCCAAGAGACUCGAUCACUGUUAACUAAUAAUGUGGUGACAGAAAUAUAAUUUAAGGUCGGGCCAGAUUUACAUAACUUUCAGAAGAUUAUUAUAUGAAAAUUAUUUAUGUGUCUUUUUUAAUUACACUAGCCUUAAACCCGUGCAAAGCACGUGCCGCUAUAUAAUUUUAAAUUUAUUAUAUAUAAUUUAAAUUUUAAAAUCAUUUUAUUAGUGUUUUAGUAUUAAUGAAUUGAAAUCUUAUUAAGAGCAUCCUUAAGGGGAAUAUGUAUAAUGGUUGGCUAUAUUGAUUGGCUAAAUUGAUUAUGUAUAUGCUCCACUGGAGUAGAAGACAUUAGAACAAAUGUAUUUAUAAGUUAUGCAUCUAUUAAUAAUUAUUAUAUAAUAAUAAUAUAUAUUAAUGAUAAUUAUAAAUUAUAUUUAAAAGAAUAAUGGUGGGGUUUUUAUCUUGGAGUAUAUCAAACUGUUCAGAGAUGUAAGACUAUGAGAACUCUACGUGUAGCACACUUUUUAGUAUAUCAAACUGUUUAGAGAUGUGAGACUAUGAUAAAUGUAAGACUAUGACUCUAUGUGUAGCAGAAUUUUUUUUUUUUUUUUUUUAAAAUGAGAAUAAAUCUAACAAAUAAGAUUCGGCAAUUCUCCGUGAUAAUUCUUUCAUUCAAGAAAGCUUAUUAUCUAACCGUCGGACAUGCAAGAUGACCGGGGAAAUUUAGACAAUAAAACUUUAAUGUCCGAAAAGAAAAACCCGUCUUCUUCCAAGAAUCCUGAAAAUAAAACAACGGAAACAAGAAAAAUAUAAGUCGAUAUAUAUAUAUCAGAUUAUAUAUAUGUUAUAAAAAUAAAAAAUAUAUCUAAUAAUUAAUUGUUAAUAAAAUCAAAUAUAUAUGCAUGUGCUGAUCAAAAUAUUCACACAAUUAUGAUAACUCAUAAUUGAGACAAUUAAACUCUUAAUUAAGGCACAAUUAAUAAAAUAUUAACGCCCUUAAUUAAGACACAAUUAACGCCCUCAAAUAAGGCACAAUUAACGUCCUCAAUUACGAGGCAUAAUUUACGCCCUCAAUUACGAGACACAAAAAAACGCCCUCAAUUAAGAGGCACAAUUAACGCCCAACCAUUACAAUCAUCUAAAUAUAACACUCAGCUGUGAACAAAACUCAAGGACUCGACUCAAAACUGACUCAGUGAGGAGCAUGAACUCGCAAAGGAUCAUCAGGACUCUUAAAACACAAAAACACAAUAGGACUGUACCAAAUUGCAACCGAAAACAGAGGAAACAAAAUCAUACAAAACAAAACUCAUCCAACAACAAAAAAGAACAGAGACUCGAUGCUAUUGACUCAGACGCGCGACUCAGUAAAUUGACUCGGUGAAGACGAUGAACUCGAAACAGACUCGGUGCGAAAUCAAAACAAACAAAACCAAUAAAACAAACUGCUACUCGAACAACAGCAACUCGCCGUGACUCGGUGACUAAACCACCGACUCGCUGUGUGCGCUUCGAUCUUCGACGGUGGUUUGAUUGUAAUCUACUCCCCACAUAUCUUGCUGUGGCUUUGGGUGGUCAGUAGUUAGACAAGAAAAAGUACACAUGUUCGUGGGUGGGACCUAGAAUUUUAGUUAUAAAGUGAAUCACCAAACCAACAUGACCAAACCAAAAUUUUGUACGAAUACGAAUUAUACGCUUAUUAUAAUAUAGUAUAGAUUAAUAAGACGAUAUAUUAUAUCUAUAAUAUUUAAUAAUAAUAAAAAUAUAUUAUUUUUAAAAUAUAAUCAUUAACAUCAAAUUAAAAUAUCCUACGGAUUUGGCGAAUUUUACUCUUGCAUCAUCAGUUGAGAAACAAAAGCAUACAAAAAGACCAAACAUGAACAGUUGGCCCAAAUAAGCAAGCUCAAAUAAAAUGAACAGCCGGGCCAAAUUAAAUAAACAAAAAUAGGCUUGUUAGAACUUGAUAAUUGUUAUAGAUAAUAUAUAUAGAGAUAAAACUUAAGAAGAGAAGAGCUACAUAUUAGAGAGAGAGAUCAUCACACUUUUGUACAUUCAUCCAACCACAUAUUACAAGGUUUAUAUAGGGCCAUAGAUUGUGAGUUACAAGUAAGUGAAAGGCCAAAGGGUGUAUACAAUAAUGGGGAUAACUCAAAAGCUAUAUGUAUAAGAGUGAAGGAAGCUAGAAAGCUAGGAGUCAUCCACCUAAUAUAUAACACUCCCCCUUGGAUGACUCGUAUCAACAACAUGCCUCAUUAAAACCUUACUAGGAAAAACCCAGUGGGAAAAACCCUAGUGAAGGAAAAAGAGUACAUGUGUCGCAUGAAUAAAAUAUCAUGACUCCCCCUCAUUUCAACAUUAAUACAAAUAUUAACAUAUAUCCCGGAAUCUGCGCAUCCCAAUCUUGUGCACUAACUUCUCGAAAGAAGAUGUUGGAAGUGCUUUUGUAAACAAGUCUGCUGGAUUUUCACAUGAGCGAAUUUGACAAACAUUAAUAUCUCCCCUCUGCUGAAGUUCGUGAGUGAAGAAGAAUUUUGGGUCAAUGUGCUUUGUCCGAUCGCCUUUAAUGUAGCCUUCCUUGGUCUGAGUGAUACAUGCUUCAUUAUCUUCGAAAAUGACGGUAGGAGUUCCUUUGUUAACUGAAAGACCACAUGAUUCUCGAAUAUGAUGGAUUAGAGACCUUAACCAUACACACUCUCGACUUGUUUCAUGAAGUGCCAACAACUCGGCAUGAUUUGAAGAAGUUGCUGCAAGAGUCUGUUUUGUAGAUCGCCAAGAUAUUGCCGUCUCGCCGUAUGUGAAUAUAUAACCUGUUUGUGAUCUUCCUUUGUGUGGAUCAGACCGAUAUCCUGCAUCUGCAUAACCAACUAAUUCCACUCUUGAGUCUUUAGAAUAAAAUAAACCCAUAUCCAUUGUUCCUCGAAGAUAUCUAAAUAUUUGUUUCACACCAGUCCAAUGUCUUCGAGUUGGAGCAGAACUAUGUCUUGCCAAAAGAUUAACUGAAAAUGAAAUAUCAGGACGUGUACAAUUGGCAAGAUACAUUAGUGCACCAAUAGCACUAAGAUAUGGUACUUCAGGACCAAGAAGUUCUUCUCCUUUUUCUCUUGGGCGGAAUGGAUCUUUAUUCUUUUCUAAUGAUCUUACAAUCAUGGGUGUACUCACAGGAUAUGCCUUAUCCAUAAUAAAUCGUUUAAGAAUUUUUUCAAUAUAUGAAGACUGGUGGACAAAGAUUCCUUUAGAUAAAUGUUCAACUUGAAAACCAAGGCAAAGUUUUGUUUUACCCAAGUCCUUCAUUUCAAACUCUUUUUUCAAAUAUUCAAUCGUCUCAUGAAGUUCAUCUGGGGUUCCAAUGAUGUUUAAAUCAUCAACAUAUACUGCAAUGAUAGUAAACCCCAAAUUUGUCCUUUUAAUAAAAACACAUGGACAUAUUACAUUAUUGGUAUAUCCAUCUUUCAAAAGAUAUUCACUGAGACGAUUGUACCACAUACGACCCGACUGUUUCAAUCCGUAUAAUGAUCUCUGUAAUUUAAUUGAGUAAAUCUCUCGGGGUCUUGAACUAUAUGCUUCAGGCAUUUUUAACCCAUCAGGGAUUUUCAUGUAAAUGUCACUAUCGAGUGAUCCAUACAAGUAGGCAGUUACAACAUCCAUUAAAUUCAUUCGGAGCCCUUCUAGAAUUGAUAAACUUAUUAAAAAUCUGAAUGUUGUUGCAUCCAUUACCGGGGAAUAAGUUUCUUCGUAAUCGAUUCCCGGUCUUUGUGAGAAGCCUUGAGCAACAAGGCGUGCCUUGUAUCUCACAAUUUCAUUUUUCUCAUUUCUUUUACGCACAAAUACCCAUCUAUAUCCGACGGGUUUUAUACCUGCAGGUGUUUGGACAAUAGGUCCAAAAACUUGGCGUUUUUCAAGUGAUUUCAGUUCUGCUUCAAUAGCUUCUUUCCAUUUUGGCCAAUCAUUUCUUUUUUUUUACAUUCAUAGAUCGAUCUGGGCUCAUGAUCCUCGAUUUCCUCAGAAAUGUCAAGUGCAGCUGCAUAUGCAAAUAUAUCAUCCAUGACAAUUUCUUUUCUGUUCCACCUCUUUCCUGAAAUGACAUAAUUUAUCGAGAUCUCUUCAUUGUCAACAAUUUCAGGUGUUUGAUCAUCUUUUUUUCAAAUAUCCAAUCGUCUCAUGAAGUUCAUCUGGGGUUCCAAUGAUGUUUAAAUCAUCAACAUAUACUGCAAUGAUAGUAAACCCCAAUUUUGUCCUUUUAAUAAAAACACAUGGACAUAUUACAUUAUUAGUAUAUCCAUUUUUCAAAAGAUAUUCACUGAGACGUUUGUACCACAUACGACCCGACUGUUUCAAUUCGUAUAAUGAUCUCUGUAAUUUAAUUGAGUAAAUCUCUCGGGGUCUUGAACUAUAUGCUUCAGGCAUUUUUAAUCCAUCAGGGAUUUUCAUGUAAAUGUCAGUAUCGAGUGACCCAUAUAAGUAGGCAGUUACAACAUCCAUUAAAUUCAUUCGGAGCCCUUCUAGAAUUGAUAAACUUAUUAAAAAUCUGAAUGUUGUUGCAUCCAUUACCGGGGAAUAAGUUUCUUCAUAAUCGAUUCCCGGUCUUUGUGAGAAGCCUUGAGCAACAAGGCGUGCCUUGUAUCUCACAAUUUCAUUUUUCUCAUUUCUUUUACGCACAAAUACCCAUCUAUAUCCGACGGGUUUUAUACCUGCAGGUGUUUGGACAAUAGGUCCAAAAACUUGGCGUUUUUCAAGUGAUUUCAGUUCUGCUUCAAUAGCUUCUUUCCAUUUUGGCCAAUCAUUUCUUCUUUUACAUUCAUAGAUCGAUCUAGGCUCAUGAUCCUCGAUUUCCUCAGAAAUGUCAAGUGCAGCUGCAUAUGCAAAUAUAUCAUCCAUGACAAUUUCUUUUCUGUUCCACCUCUUUCCUGAAAUGACAUAAUUUAUCGAGAUCUCUUCAUUGUCAACAAUUUCAGGUGUUUGAUCAUCCUUAGAAGACGUCUCUUCAGUGAUCAAUUCUAUGAUGUCAUUUGAUGUACCAACUUCCUUAUCAAGUUUCCUUGUUUUUCUUGGAGUUUUAUCCUUGGAUCCAAUAGGUCUACCACGCUUCUGGCGUGCUUUAGACUCAUUUGCUAGCAUAAUUUUAUUAUCUUCUUCAGGAAGUUUAAUUUUACAAGGAACAUUAACAGCUGGUAUAUGUGACUUUGUCACAUUCUUGACAUCAGUAAAUGCAUCAGGCAAUCUAUUUGCGACUUCUUGUAGGUGGAUAAUCUUUUGAACUUCAAGUUCACAUUGAUUUGUACGAGGAUCAAAAUGAGACAGGGAUGCUGCAUUCCAUAAAAUUUCUUGCUUUUCUUUUUCAAAUUUUAUCUUAUCUCCCCCUAAUGCAGGAAAAACUGUCUCAUCAAAUUGACAAUCGGCAAACCUUGCCUUGAAUAAAUCACCAGUCACGGGCUCCAAAUAUUUAAUAAUUGAGGGAGAGUCAAACCCAACAUAUACCCCUAAUCUUCUUUGGGGUCCCAUUUUUGUUCGUUGGGGAGGGGAUAUCGGAACAUAAACUGCACACCCAAAAACUCUUAAAUGAGAGAUAUUCGGUUCUCUACCAUUUACAAGUUGCAUAGGGGAAUAUUGAUGAUAAGAGGUCGGUCGUAACCGAACUAAAGAAGCCGCAUGUAAAAUCGCAUGUCCCCAAGUAGUAUUUGGUAAAUUCGUUUUCAUAAGUAAAGGUCUUGCAAUCAGUUGUAGCCUUUUGAUGAAAGAUUCAGCGAGACCAUUUUGAGUGUGUACGUGGGCAACAGAAUGUUCCACUUCAAUCCCAAUUGACGUACAAUAAUCAUUAAAAGAUUGGGAUGUAAAUUCCCCUGCAUUGUCCAAUCUUAUUUUCUUUAUAUUAUGAUCAGGGAAUUGUGCUCUUAACCGAAUUAUUUGAGCAAGGAGUCGUGCAAAAGCAACAUUACGAGUGGACAAUAAACUAACAUGCGACCAUCGUGUUGAUGCAUCAAUGAGUACCAUAAAGUACUGAAAUGGCCCACUAGAUGGGGUAAUUGGUCCACAUAUAUCUCCUUGUAUUCGCUCCAAAAAAUUUGGGCAUUCAAUUGAAACUUUCACAGGAGAUGGUCUAGUUAUCAAUUUUCCUUGAAAACAAGCAAUACAGGGGACAUCUUUAGAUAAAGGAACAAUUUUGUUCUUGAGAGGAUGUCCAUUUGAGUUUUCUAUAAUUCUUCGCAUCAUUGUUGAACCCGGAUGACCUAAACGAUCAUGCCACAUCAUAAAAUUAGUUGGGUCCUCUAAUUUUUUGUUCACCACCAUAUAUGAUUCAACUGGAUUUAUGAAGGUGUAAUAUAAUCCAGAUUUAUAUGAGGGGAGCUUUUCAAGUAACUGCUUCACCCCUGAGACAACCGAUGUGAUAUAUAAAAAUUCUUCAUCAUUUGCAUUUGUUGUCUCUAUGUGAAAAUCAUUUUUACGUAUAUCUUUGAAACUCAAAAGAUUUCUUUUUGAUUUGGUGGAAAGCAUUGCAUCAUCAAUAGUGAGUCGUGUUCCAUUAGGUAACACUAUAUUUGCUCUUCCGGAGCCAUCAAUAAGAUUUGAUGCACCAGAUAUGGUGUUCACAGUAGCUUUAGCUAACUUUAGAUGCAAAAAAUAUUUUUCAUUUUUUAGAAUUGUGUGUGUUGUUGCACUAUCUGCUAAGCAAAGUGAUUCCUCAUCUUCUAUGACAUAUGAUGAGAGGCUGCUGGCCAUGUUCUUCACACAAAAAUGAAGCAAAAUUUGAGAUAAAACAUCUCAUGACAGUCCAUAGAUUUGUGAUUGAGCAACAUAUUAAAAACCCAAACAAAAGAAACUUUAUAGUUCAUCCGUAAACACAUAAACAUUUAAUAAAAUAAAGCAAAGCCUUUUAUUUAAUUGGCAUCACCACCACCAAAUUUGGCCACCUCCAUAUUGCCAUCUUCAAAGAAAUCAGACACUUCCAUGUGAGUAAAGUUGAGUGGGUCAAUUUGAUUAUCUCCACCAAGGUGAGUUUCAAGCUGGGAUAGACCUAGAGGAUCAUGUUGCUCAGUAAAAUUAGUCUCAACACCUUUUAAAGAAGCUUGGUAGAGAUCAACAAGGUGUUUGGAGGUACGACUUGUAUUACUCCAGUGCCCUUUCAUUCCACAACGAUGACAAAUGCUUUCAACCCUUUGACCCAUCAUAUUUCCCUUAGGCUUUUCCUCAUUCUUUGUCCACUUCUGGUGGUGAGGUUUCUUUUUAAAAUUUGAGAAGUUUCGAUAUUUAUGACCUCGACCAUGCCCAAAACCACGUCCACGGGCAUGUCCACGACCUCGUCCAAAACCACGUCCUCGUCCUCGUCCACGUCCAAAAUCAUUAUUAGUAACAGCAUUCACUUCAGGGAAUGGUGUUGAACCAGUUGGACGAGCUUGAUGAUUUUUCAUCAAAAGUUCAUUAUUUUGCUCAGCAAGAAGCAAGACAGAAAUAAGUUCAGAAUAUUUCGUGAACCCCCGUUCACGAUAUUGCUGCUGCAGGAGCAUAUUGUUGGCAUGAAAAGUGGAAUAAGUCUUUUCCAACAUAUCUUUAUCGGUUACAUUUUCACCGCAUAAUUUCAGCUGAGAAGUGAUUUUGAACAUCGCUGAAUUGUACUCGCUUACACUUUUAUAAUCUUGCAAGCGCAAGUGUAGCCAAUCAUAGCGAGCCUUAGGGAGUAUCACAGUUUUUUGAUGAUCAUAUCUCUCUUUUAGAUCAUUCCAAAGGUUUAACGGAUCCUUAACAGUCAAGUAUUCAGUUUUCAAGCCUUCAUGAAGGUGAUGUCGAAGGAAUAUCAUGGCUUUUGCCUUUUCUUGCUCAGUUUUCACAUUUCCUUCCUUUAUGGUGUCUCCAAGACCCAUAGCAUUAAGGUGGAUUUCGGCAUCAAGAAUCCACGUUAAAUAAUUAUUGCCGGUGAUAUCAAGUGCGUUGAAUUCAAGUUUCGUGAGAUUUGACAUUUUUCUUACUACAAAAAUAUAAUUAACAUAAAUAUUAAUUCACAAACACAUAAAAUCAAGAAAACACAUUCAUACACGCACUAUAUGAAAAUUUUGACAACUAUAUGAAUGUUUAAGGUUAACUAAAUAAAUAGGCAUAUUGAUAAAAUCUAUCACAUGGCAAAAGCUACGUAUAAAGUAUAUUAUGCAUGAAGACAUGAGAAUAAGAAUUUAAAUACACCUUGAUUUAGUAUUUGUUAAAAAUAUACCAAAAUUUAUAUGCAUGAUAUAAAAAGAUUAAACAUGUCACUAAAGAAAUAUAUAUUACCAAGUAAACAUAAUUUAUAUAUUUGAGUCAGAAAAGUUCGAGACAAGAAUAUACAUAUUAAUCUAUUACAAAUUAAUAAUUUAGACAUGCAUUUAAUCAUCAUUUUUUUUAAAUGAGGAAUUGCCAUUUCUUAUAAACAUAAAACACGUAAAUAUAAAUUCUAGCAUGGAGAUAUACAGACUUGUCAACUAGCAGGGCAUACUAUUCGUUUAGCAACUAUGUCUCCUUAGUGCAUAAUCUCUUCAACUCGACAACUAAUACCAAAACAAAUAGUAAGAUUUAUAUUAUCUUAAUAGUGUUUCCUAGAUUUAUAUUAAUGAAAACCACAAAACUGUAAAAGAUAGCGGAUAUGCAUUUUGGUUAGUAGCGAUGAUCUAAACUAUGAGAAACCAUUUUAUACUACAUCCUCAUUCUUUACUGAUACUCUAUCCACCUCCAGAAACAAGAAACAAUAACAAUUAAAAUAUGAGUACUCCUAAAAUACUAAUCAGAUUAUAACAAUUAAAAUAUAUAUGAUAUUUCAUAAUAGCAUGCAUGUGAGAAUACAACCAAACUCAAGUCCUGACCUAGUACAAACUCAUGAUUAUAAUUAUACUAGAUGAAAAGAAUCAACCUAGAUUAAAAGUAUAAAGAUUAAUGCGUAAAUGUAGUCACAUAAGUUUGUUGGUCAGUAAAAGAAUUGUGUACCUCAAGUUGAAUAGAGAUCAGGUGAUUGUAUUUUGAUAUAUCCUAGACUCCUGCGGCUAUAUAAGGAAAACUUAUUCUCUUCACCGUGGCAUCUUUUUCUUGCGUUCCUUCUUUGUGCCUUCGUGCUGAUAACGUGUUAUAGAUAAUAUAUAUAGAGAUAAAACUUAAGAAGAGAAGAGCUACAUAUUAGAGAGAGAGAUCAUCACACUUUUGUACAUUCAUCCAACCACAUAUUACAAGGUUUAUAUAGGGCCAUAGAUUGUGAGUUACAAGUAAGUGAAAGGCCAAAGAGUGUAUACAAUAAUGGGGAUAACUCAAAAGCUAUAUGUAUAAGAGUGAAGGAAGCUAGAAAGCUAGGAGUCAUCCACCUAAUAUAUAACAAUAAUUAUUUUUCUAGAACUAAACUAAACAAACCAGAGUUUACAUGACUAGUUAGUGGAAAAGGAAAAAAAAAUUUAAUGAAUCUUUUUGCUAUUAUUAUAAAUUUUAUUUUCAGGAAAAAAGUUUAUUAAUUAAUAAUUAUAGAUUUAUAGAUUAUUAUUAAUCAAAUAUAGUCACAUAUUAAUUUUAAAUUUGAGAAAUAAGAAGUACAAAAAAUGAUUAUUUUAUUAUAAAACAAAUGUUUGGAUAUGUACAUACUAAUCUACAUUUGGAUAUUUUUUAGAUCCCUAAUAAAAUAAAAUUUAGAAUAAUAUAUCCUAAAUUUGAAUUGUUGGAUAGUUCUGGUUUGCCCUAAUAGCCAAUGCUACUUAUUCCGGUUUAGUUCGUCUCACUCAACACAAACAAAUAAUCACAAUCACCCGGUGCUCUCAGGAAGACCCGACAAGUGUCUCCGAAUGAAGAAGCUUAAGAAAGUCGAUAAUGAGAAGAAAAAGAAGUGAAAUUUCAGCUUGUUCAUGUGUUUUUAUUACUGUAUUGUAUAUACCUGAUUAUGAUUAUGCUACUAACAACUUUGAUCUUGAGACCUUUUAAUUUACUUCUAUAUGAUGUUUUCAUCAGUUGUUUUGUUUGUUCUUCAAUUGAAGGUUGCAAAAAGGAACUGAAGAUGAUAUGGCUGGAGGCUUCGAGCUCAAGCGCCUUAGAGUCGAGGAGGAGUCUUCCUCUUGGUAAAGUGUAUUAUAUGUUAAUUAAAUCCAAUGGCCGCCCGGCCUGAUUACAGAUUAAGUAAUUGUGACUACCUUAAUAAUAUUCAUUGAUUGAUAGCAUUGUGAAACUUUUUUCUUAAUUCAUGUCAAUUAGACCUCUUUGUUGUUGUAUGUCACACUUUAGGCAUCACCUCCCUCUCGAAGCAUUUGAUGUUUGUUGCUGUGUUCUGAAAAGCUUUUGCUUUAUUAUAUAGUCCUCAUAAUUUUGUGCUUUUUUUUUUAAUUUCCUUUUGUUGUUCUGCAAUUAAAGGUUGCAAAGAUGUAAUGAUGACUCCCAGCAUCGCCAAGUCAAGCACAAGAGAGUCAAGAAAGAGAGUGCCUCUAGGUAAUUUUUUUAAUUUAUAAUUAAUUGCUUCUUUUUAUUGCUUUCUUCUGAAAAGUUUUCAAUAUUUAAUUUUUAUCACAAGUCAAGUGCAAGAGAGUGAACAAGGAGUCUUUCUUCUGGUAAACUUUAUUACAGUAUUUAUAACUAAUUGCUUCACCUUAUUGUUAUUUAGUGAAUUGAAUACCCCUGUCUAACUACAGAAGAAAACUUGAUUGCUUCAGCUUAUUUUAUUUUUUUGGAUAAUCAAAUCCAAUGGCCGCCGGGCCUGAUUACAGAUUAAGUAAAUGUGACUAACUUAGUAAUAUUCAUUGAUUGAUAGCAUCGUGAAACUUUUUUCUUAAUUCAUGUCAACUAGACCUCUUUGUUGUUGUCUGCCACCCUUUAGGCAUCACUCUCUCUUGUAGCAUUUGAUGUUUUUUGCUGUGUUUUCUUAAUUUUGUGCUUGUUUUUAUUUCCUUUUUUUGUUCUGCAACCAAAGGUUGCAAAGAUGUAAUGAUGACUCCCAGCAUCGCCAAGUCAAGCACAAGAGAGUCAAGAAAGAGAGUGCGUCUAGGUAUUAUUGUUUAAUUUAUGGUUAAUUGCUUCUUUUUAGUGCUUUCUUCUCGAAAGUUUUGAAUAUUUAAUUUUUAUCAUAAGUCAAGUGUAAGUGAGUCAACGAGGAGUCUUUCUUUUGGUAAAGUUUAUUAUUUAUGACUAAUUGCUUCACCUUAUUGUUAUUUAGCGAAUUGAAUACCCCUGUCUAAUUACAGAGAAAACUUGAUUAGUUAAUAAUAUUUACACAUAACAUUGUUAAACUUUUACCUGAUUUCACGUCAAUUAGGCCUUGUUAUUACAAUUUCUAGCCGUAGUUGAGGUGCUCCUCAGGUGCAAAUGAGGUGAGGCAUAGGAGUCAGAGUCUUGAUGUGCUCCUCAGGCGUAAAUGAGGCGAGGCAUAGGAGUCAGCGUCUCUGGCACCCAAAUCAUGGUGCUGUCAGCCAGCCGCGCACCUUUGUGUGCUGGUUUGACUUCUAGGUGGGGUUUUGGGAAUUUAACUUGCGCUGAUGGUAUACUUAAGUGCAAAUGAGCUCUAAGAUCGCAUCUUUGUAGUAAAUCUAGUUAGAAAAGGAAAUCUGAGGUUUUGUUAAUUCUAAUCAUAGCCAUAGAAAAUAAUUAUAGAUAAGGAAGGGCUCAUAUUAAAAAAGAGAAGACCAGGAAAAGAAUGGUUGUACAGAAAUCGUAUAUUAGAAAUUGCAGCCACCUUUCGACUUUGAAAUAGCAAAGACCAACCACCCAUUUCUCUCCUCCGUUCCAUCGACUUCUAGUCUUACUCAUUUGGGAUGGUAGUUUCUACUUUCUAGACUAUUGCUAUUAGUUACUAAUUCGAUAAAGUUUAGCUUUGGUUUUCCGGGUUAUUAUAUAUGUGCUUCUAAUUUGUUUCCUUCUGCAAUUAAAGGAAGCAAAGAGGAACUGAUGCCUCUCGAGGAGGCUCUGAGCAUCACCAAGUUCAGCACAAGAAAGUCAAGCAUAAGAGAGUUGAUCCCGGCGAUAUCUCUCAGUAAAGUUGCUAAUUUAUAAUUAAUUUUGCUUCACUGACUGUGAGGGUUCGGAAUCAUAAACUAUGGCAUGAUUAUAGAUGAAUCCCUUGUUAGUUAAUAUUAAUUGAUCGAUAACAGUGUGAAAAAUGACUUGUAGCAUAUAAAUAGAUCCUAUUGUGCUCAGGAGAACUUAAAAUUUGAAUGAUAAAUAUAUCUUUUAGUUAUUGCUAGCUUCUGUUUAGUUAUUAAUAUGAUUUUUACAUAAUUUUUGAGGAAAACAGCUUGUUUGAUAUCGUGAAGCGAAUAAAACUUGGACAUGCAAAGAUGGCUUUGGAAUUUUAUGAGAAGAGACAGGUUUCCCAUUUCUCUCUUUCAUAUUCAUUUUAACCAUGUGUGCUGCAAGCAACAUUUCUAAUUUUACACUUGUUGGUUGUUAGGAUGCUGAGUUUGAAGUUUUAGAAGUCCUAAAUUUUACUAGUUCGGAAUUACUACACCCCGAAUCUAAUAAGUGGUGUCAAUCAUGGAGUCAUGUCAACUUCAUUGCUAAACCAAAGAACACUGACUGCAACGUCUCUCCAAAACACUUCUUUGGUGAAUUCUUUAUAGAUGAUGAUUCAAGGAAAUUCAAUGUCACCUACUGUUCUACAUUUGAGCCCAGUGAUGAUCCUGGUAAAGCUCAUACUAUAGUUUUUUGAAUGUGUUUUGCCUAGUUUAUAUUUUGUUGAAUGUGUUUUGCUUAGUUUUAUGUAUUAUGUUGGAUACAUAUAAAAUUUUACAAAACUAAGUCCGUUGAUUAUAUAUAUAUAUAUAUAUAUAUAUAUGUAUGUAUGUAUGUAUGUAUAUGUAACGUUUAAAACAACUUAUAAAUGAUAAAUUAUAUUUAAAUUUGAAUAAUCAAAGAUAUUAUUUUUGAUUAAACUAAAAAAUUAUGACUCGUACUCCAAUACUCCAAUGUUUUUGUGUACUCGAUAGAACUUAACUCUCUCUCUCUCCCUCUCUCUCUCUCUCUCUAUAUAUAUAUAUAUAUAUAUUAACUCAGAACCUUAUGAUUCUGAAUCCUUUGUUUUUGUUGAUGUGAUUGUGAACUUUCACCUUGACUGACUAUAUUGACUAUGCAAUUGAUGCAGGAUUCAACCAUGGUUGCAUAUUUUGCCCACCGGGUGAGAAAUUUCAUCCUUCCGAUGGAGAUUUUGUUGCUCGUCCGCCAUGGUAUAAAAGGAGUGGUAUAAAACUAGGAUAAUAUAUGGUUAGUUUAAGUGGGCACUGGUAUCUAUAUAAUAUUGGCUGGAACAAGGUUGGAGUUUUUGGUUGAAACUACGACAGUUGAAAGAAAACUUAAUUUAUGUAUUGGAUUUUACACUAUAUAUUUAUCUGUUUAAAUACUAAUAUGGUGAAUUAUAUAUUUUUUAUGCAUGAACUUUCAUUGAAUUCUGGGUUGUGAGACCAAAUUUUUGCUCGAUAGCGACGGCCUUUGCCUUUCCUUAUGAAAUGGUUGAAAGUCAAGUCAUAAGUUCCAUCAUUGAACUAAGAAAGAGAUUGUUACCUAUAUAUAAGUUCUUUCAUUAGACUAAGAGGUGCUUACUGCUUAGGAAUCAACAAUUAAUUAUUAAGAAUUUUUAAUUCUUGAGCAGGCAGUCAUUAUACAUGUUUCUCAUUUUUAUUCAUUCAUAGUAAUUUUGUUCGGAAUAAGAUUAAAUUCCUAUACGUUUUAUAUUGCCAGCAUCAAUAGAAUCUGACACGACACUGUCAUAAGGGAGUUUUAUUGUUCUUAGACCUUGGUUUUUUUCCAAACAUUCUUGUAGUAUUUAUUAGUUCAGCAACAUUCAGUCCACUUUAUGAAAUGCUCACUACAUUCGAAUAUGGUAAGUUCUUAUUAUAAAAUUGAUCAUAUGGUAAGUUCUUUUUGUAAAACUAAUCAUAUUUAUUUCGAUACCUAAACGAGGCUCCUUCCAUUUUCUAGGUACCCCAAACCUUUUUUUUAAACAAACUGCGUAUUUUGAAUUUUUUUGGAAGGUCCAGAGAACCCUAAAUAUUAAGUGUGGCAAACAUAGAUUGGUGGCAAUUGUGAUAGAUAUGAGAGGGUCAUUGCCCCCAAUUAAGGGGAAAGACAAAAGCAGGUUAUAAAUUCGUCCCAUAGAGAGACUGGUGAAAGAAUAGUGAAGGGAGAUUUUAAGGGAAAUCUGUAAAACAAAUCUUCACCGUCUUCGGUCCCAGAUGAGGCUAAUCUUCGCCCCUAGAAGAGGCUAAGACAGUAAGGGGAAAAAAACUGCCCUUUCUAGGUGAGUUCUGUUGUUACAAAAUGUUUAAUUACUGAAAAUAAUGAUUAUUAUUUGUUGAUAUCUUAUACUCCCUACGUCUCUGUUUACUUCUUUCGUUUGAUAUGUCGGGACUGUUCAUAACACGAGUCAAAUUAUUAAUUUACGUAUAAUUUAUAAGACUAAAUAUAGUCCUGAGUGGUCUUUUACACGAAUUCACGUCAAUUUGACCUUGUUGUUGCAACUUCUAGCCAUAGUUGAUGUGCUUCUCAGGCACAAAUGAGGCGAGGCAUAGGAGUCAGUGCCUCUGGCACCCAAAUCAUGUUGCUGUCAGCCAGCCGCAGCCGCGCACCUAUGUGUGCUGGUGACUUGGGCGUAGGCGCAAUUUUAGGACUUCUAGUGGGGUUUUGGGAAUUUACCGCGCGCUGAUGGUAUACUUAAGUGCAAAUGAGCUCUAAGAUCGCAUCUUUGUAGUAAAAUUUAGUUAGAAAAGGAAAUCUGAGGUUUUGUUAAUUCUAAUCAUAGCCAUAGAAACUAAUCAUAAAUAAGGAAGGGCUCAUAUUAAAAAAGAGAAGACCAGGAAAAGAAUGGUUGCACAGAAAUCGUAUAUUAGAAAUUGCAGCCACCUUUCGACUUUGAAAUCGCAAAGACCAAGCACCCAUCUCUCUCCUCCAUUCCAUCGACUUCUAGUCUUACUCGUUUGGGAUGAUAGUUGUUUCUACUUUCUAGACUAUUGCUAUUAGUUACUAAUUUGAUAAAGUUUAGCUUUGGUUUUCCGGUUUAUUAUAUAUAUAUGUGCUUCUAAUUUGUUUUCUUCUGCAAUUAAAGGAAGCAAAGAGGAACUGAUGCCUCUCGAGGAGGCUCUGAGCAUCACCAAGUUGAGCACAAGAAAGUCAAGCAUAAGAGAGUCGAUCGCGGCCAUAUCUCUCAGUAAAGUUUCUAAUUUAUAAGUAAUUUUGCUUCACUGACUGUUAGGGUUCGGGAAUCAUACACUAUGGCAUGAUUAUAGAUGAAUUCCUUGUUAGUUAAUAUUAAUUGAUCGAUAACAGUGUGAAAAGUGACUUGUAGCAUAUAAAUAAAUCCUAUUGUGCUCAAGAGAACUUAAAAUUUAAAUGAUAAAUAUAUCUUUUAGUUAUUUCUAGCUUCUGUUUAGUUUUUAAUAUGAUUUUUUACAUAAUUUUUGAGGAAAACAGCUUGUUCGAUAUCAUGAAGCGAAUAAAACUUAGACAUGCAAAGAUGGCUUUGGAAUUUUAUAAGAAGAGACAGGUUUCCCAUUUGCUCUCUUUCAUAUUCAUUUUAACCAUAUGUGCUGCAAGCAACAUUUCUGAUCUUACACUUGUUGGUUGUUAGGAUGCUGAGUUUGAAGUUUUAGAAGUCCUGAAUUUUACUAGUUCGGAAUUACAACACCCCGAAUCCAAGUGGGGUCGAUCAUGGAGUCAUGUCAACUUCAUUGCUAAACCAAAGAACACUGACUGCAACGUCUCUCCAAAACACUUCUUUGGUGAAUUCUAUAAAGAUGAUGAUUCAGGGAAAUUCCAUGUCACCUACUGUUCUACAUUUGAGCCCAGUGAUGAUCCUGGUAAAGCUCAUACUGUAUUUUGUUGAAUGUAUGCUUAGUUUAUGUAUUAUGUUGGAUACAAUAAUAGAAUUUUACAAAACUAAGUCUGUUGAUUACAUGUUCAUAUAUAUAACUCAGAACCUAAUAAUUCUAAACCCUUUGUUUUUGUUGAUGUGAUUGUGAACCUUCACCUUGACUGACUAUAUUGACUAUGAAUUUGAUGCAGGAUUCAACCAUGGUUGCAUAUUUUGCCCACCCAGUGAGAAAUUUCAUCCUUCCAAUGGAGAUUUUGUUGCUCGUCCGCCAUGGUAUAAGAGGAGUGGUAUAAGACGAGGAUAAUAUAUGGUUAGUUUAAGUAGGCACUGGUAUCUAUAUAUAUAAUAUAGGCUGGAACAAGUUUGGAGUUUUUGGUUGAAACUGACAGUUGAAAGAAAACUUAAUUUAUGUAUUGGAUUUUACAAUAUAUAUUUAUCUGUUUAAAUACUAAUAUGGUGAAGUAUAAGUUUUUGAUGCACGUUCUUUCAUUGAAUUCUGGGUCAAAUUUUUGCUCGAUAGCCCACUGCCUUUGCCUUUCCUUAUGAAAUGGUUGAAAGUCAAGUCAUAAGUUUCAUCAUCGGACUAGAAAGAGAUUAUUACCUAUAAGUCCUUUCAUUAGACUAAGAGGUGCUUAGAAAUCAACAAUUAAUUAUUAAGAAUUUGUAAUUCUUGAGCAGGUAGUCAUUAUAUUACAUGUUUCUCAGUUUUAUACAUUUAUAGUAAUUUUUUUGGGAAUAAGAUUAAAUUCCUAUACGUUUUAUAUUGCCAGCACCAAUAGAAUCUGACACGACACUGACCUAAGGGAAUUUUAUUGUUCUUAGACCUUGUUUAUUUUUCAAACAUUUCUGUAGUAUUUAUAAGUUCAGCUUCAUUCAGUCCACUUUAUGAAAGGCUCACUACAUUUGAAUAUGGUAAGUUUUUUUAUUAAAAAAAUCAUAUUUAUUUUGAGAUCUAAAUGAUGGUGGUAUGACUUUUUGUUCCCGAGUACUGAAUAAAGGCUAUUGUUUUUCAGUAUUGGAAUUUUUCAUAUUUUAAAAGCUGACCAAAUUUUUGCUUGAUAACCCACUGCCUUUGCCUUCCCUUAUGAAAUGGUUGAAAGUCAAGUCAUAAGUUCCUUGAGGAUCAUCAUAUUAUCAAUAAAAAGUUCAUAUUUCCUUUAUCGGCUCUUUCAUCAAAUUUAAGACAUGGAGCUGAAUAUGUCAACUACAUAAGACAUCUUAUGAACUCCCUUCUCUCAAAGUAACGGGAGAAACAUCUUUAGGUGUUGGAGUGGUAAAUUUUCACCAUGCUCCAAUCUUUGGGAUGACUUCUUGGGUUUGAUAGUGGAACAACUCAAAGGGCUUACAUGUUUGUAACAUUGAGAGAGAUAUAAUCUGGUGCAACUAGGUUGAAUGUGAUAGGACCUUUAGGUGCUGCUGUACGGCAACACUGAAGAUUUAUCAAAUAAAUGGAUGGAUCGACCACUUGAUGAAGCAUGCCAGACGAGUCCUUUACUUGACACUGUGCAGGGGUGCCAUGGCUACUGAUUUUCAAGACUGUUCUGCUCUUAAAAGCUCGGAAGGAAGAAUUAGUUGCUGAGGCUUAUGCACCUGUAUGGUAGUCAGGUCGAUGUUGUUGCUUGAGUUGAAGGUGAUGAAAUUGAUGCUUCAAACCAACUCGAGCUAUCAUUGGUUUUGCCG
rnacentral:lncRNA from 1 species